rnacentral:rRNA from 1 species
UACGUAGGUGGCGAGCGUUAUCCGGAAUUAUUGGGCGUAAAGAGCGCGCAGGUGGUUGAUUAAGUCUGAUGUGAAAGCCCACGGCUUAACCGUGGAGGGUCAUUGGAAACUGGUCGACUUGAGUGCAGAAGAGGGAAGUGGAAUUCCAUGUGUAGCGGUGAAAUGCGUAGAGAUAUGGAGGAACACCAGUGGCGAAGGCGGCUCUCUGGACUGUAACUGACACUGAGGCACGAAAGCGUGGGGAGCAAACAGGAUUAGAUA